GAUGAACGCUGGCUACAGGCUUAACACAUGCAAGUCGUGGGGAAACGGCAUUAUGUGCUUGCACAUUCUGGACGUCGACCGGCGCACGGGUGAGUAUCGCGUAUCCAACCUGCCCCUUACUUGGGGAUACCCCGUUGAAAGACGGCCUAAUACCCGAUGUGUUUCAUUGACGGCAUCCGAUAUGAAACAAAGGUUUUUCCGGUAAGGGAUGGGGAUGCGUCUGAUUAGCUUGUUGGCGGGGCAACGGCCCACCAAGGCGACGAUCAGUAGGGGUUCUGAGAGGAAGGUCCCCCACAUUGGAACUGAGACACGGUCCAAACUCCUACGGGAGGCAGCAGUGAGGAAUAUUGGUCAAUGGACGCAAGUCUGAACCAGCCAAGUAGCGUGCAGGAUGACGGCCCUAUGGGUUGUAAACUGCUUUUAUGUGGGAAUAAAGUGGCGCACGUG
rnacentral:rRNA from 1 species